UACAGAGGGGGCGAGCGUUGUUCGGAAUUACUGGGCGUAAAGGGCGCGUAGGCGGCCCGCUAAGUCGAACGUGAAAUCCCCGGGCUCAACCCGGGAACUGCGUCCGAUACUGGCAGGCUUGAAUCCGGGAGAGGGAUGUGGAAUUCCUGGUGUAGCGGUGAAAUGCGCAGAUAUCAGGAAGAACACCAAUGGCGAAAGCAGCUCUCUGGGACGGUACUGACGCUGAGACGCGAAAGCGUGGGGAGCGAACAGG
rnacentral:rRNA from 1 species